rnacentral:rRNA from 1 species
UACGUAGGGGCAAGCGUUGUCCGGAAUGAUUGGGCGUAAAGGGCGCGUAGGCGGCUUUAUAAGUCUGGAGUGAAAGUCCUCUUUUCAAGGGAGGAAUUGCUUUGGAAACUAUAGAGCUUGAGUGCAGGAGAGGUUAUCGGAAUUCCCGGUGUAGCGGUGAAAUGCGUAGAUAUCGGGAGGAACAUCGGUGGCGAAGGCGGGUAACUGGACUGCAACUGACGCUGAGGCGCGAAAGUGUGGGGAGCAAACAGGAUUAGAUACCCGUGUAGUCCCUGA